GGAAGCAACAAUAUCUGAGUACAGACAUAAGUUAAACAAGGAUGCCUUAAGAAGGCUAGCACAAAAGCAACAACGAUCGAAGAGGCAAGGCCUCCUGCCUGGGACCUCCUAACUACUCCUAGCCGUCGGCGGUCUUCACGUAGCAGCAUCCAUCGGCGGUGGCAUCUGGCUCCAGGGAUCCACCAUCUGGUUGCAUCAACCGGAAAGAAGAAGGAAGGGGGAAAAGGGGUAGCAAAGCAACCGUGAGUACUCAUCCAAAGUACUCGCAAGCAUCAGAUCUAUACUAAGUAUGCAUUGGUAUCAAAUGGAAGGUUUGUAUCUAUGGACUGAACUGCAAAAUGCCAGAAUAGAGGGGGAAGGCCUAGCCUAUCGAAGACUAGCAUCUUCACGCAGCUCCGAGCAUCUUGCAGCAUGUAGAAGAGUAAAGAAUAGCAGUUUAUAUUUAACAAGCAUGUUGUAACAUUAAUGCCUAGAGAUCCUUCCUCGACUCCCUGCGAGAAAGCAAUCCCGGAGCCAUAUAACUUAAGUAUCCAUUUCUAGUUGUAUUAGAUCAAGAUAUAAGUCUGAACGUCCAUUACCGUGGACACGGUAUUCGAAUAAAGAGAUUCCCUGCAGGGGUGCACCACGUUUUCCGACACGCUCGAUCACUUUGGCCGGACACACCUUUCUGGGGUCAAUGCCCUGCCUCGGAAGAUCAACACGUUGCAGCCCGACCUAGGCUCAGCAGAGAGGUCCCCACCGGUCUACAUCCUAAGCACUCCGGGGUCUGGGCCCAUCGCCUGUUGCACUCCGGAUCGUUGUGUGCAGGGUGGAUACCAGCACCACCCUUGUAGUGGAUGGCACGAUCCGACCGUGCCACAAUGCUGAACUGGACAUCUGACAAAGCCUCGGCUGAUACCACGACGUCGAGGCCCAUAACUAUUCUCGCGUGGUGGUUGGUGCGAAAAGGCCAAAGGCCAAUUCAGAACAAAUACCCAAACCAUAGUGUAUUAUUAGCUCGCGGAGACGAGCAGAGACUCAUGAUAAGGUGACCCCAUCGCCCCAUCUCGAGGAAAUACGGCAAGGGCAAGCCCAGCCCACUCGAGGGCUGCCAGACUUUCCGGCCGUGCCUCGUAACCAUCUUGCGGGUGCUCUCCGGGCCCGCCCGACUUUCCCAAAGGUCUCAAGUAAUGUCAAGGUAACCAUGUGUCCAAACAUCAAGGGGAAAACCAAAGGAAUCACCCUCGGAGGAUUCCACUCGAUGUAAUCAUCAAGGUGAACGUAAGAGGAACCACCCUCGAGGUUCACACUUGAGGGGUUGCACGACAGAGCCGUACCGGGAAUUGGAAGGAGGAAAUCACCCUCGAUGACCACGACCGAAUAGCUACACUACAGAGAUCUCAUCAGGAGUGCGUUAUGAGGGAUCACCCUCGGCACUCGACAGUAGCUCUACAGAGUCGAGCAACAAAAGGGGCGUGAUGUGAUGUGAGGUAUCAGGCUCUGGUCGUCGAUCACGUUGAUCGAGUCGUCGAUGAUGAAGCAGGGGCAGCAAGGACGAGGUGGGGGUCACUGAUGGAUCACUAACCAACCUAUACUAAGCAGUUUAGGAUAAGUAGGUAAGGUACAACAGCAGAUACAAAGGCAGGCUAUGCAUCAGAAUAGGAGCAAACAAUAAUAGUAGCAAAAUCUAAUGCAAGCAUGAGAGUAUAGAAUGGGCGAUAUCGGGAUGAUCAAAGGGGGGGCUUGCCUGGUUGCUCAGACAAGGAGGGUCGUCGUCGAUGUAGUCGAUCACAGGGACAUCAGCAUCGGUCUCGGGGUCUACCGGAGAGAAGAGGGGGAAGAAACAGUAAAUACAUAGCAGACAAGUGCAUAACAAGAAAAUAAGUGAGGCUAGAAGUGUUCUAACGCAGUGCUAGGCGGUACUGGCGAAGGGGGGAACAUCCGGGAAAGUUUUCCCGGUUCCGGACGUCUGUCAAACAGAUGAACUGGAGGGGAAAAGUUGCAUGUUUUCUAUGCUAGGGAUGUGUGGCGGGCGAACAGUUCGCGUAGUCGGAUUCGUUUCGCCGUUCUGAGCAACUUUCAUGUAUAAAACUUUUUCAUUCGAGCUACGGUUUAAUUUCUAUGAAUUAUUAAAGUUUUAUUAUUAUUCUGAAAUUAAGCUUAAUACGAAAAUAAAUGCUAAAAUGCUAGGCGCACCCAGCAUAGCGCACACAAAAGUGCACAUAGUGGCUGACAGGUGGGCCAGGGGGUCCCAGUUGACCAGUCAACAUUUGACUGGUCAACAGGGGGUGGGGCCCCCUGUCAUAGACUCAUCUAACUAAUUAACAGUUUUAAUUAACUAAUCUAGUUCAUUAGGUUAAUUAAGAUUAAUUAAUUAAGUUAAACAAUCAUUUAACUAAUUAAUUAAUUGUUUUUAUUAAUAUAUUUUUAACACAUUUCUUUUUAGAAAAGGGGCUGGUGGGUCCCGCUGGCAGUGGCCCAUAGAGCCAAUCUGGCAACGGGCGAACGGGCACAGGGGCGUGGAAGUGGGCGCCCGUACCCGAGGAGGGGGCGAACCCGAGCGAGGCGGGACGCUGGCGCUGGGCGCUGCCCGGGGCGUGGUUGCCGACGAUGAGGGGAGCCGCCGGAUGGACUAGUGGAGGAGGGAUGCGGCAGCGGUAGUGCGGCAGGGGAGAGCGGGGUGAGCGCGGGCGCCGGCUCCAAGCGCGGCCAGCCGGGGCCUCGGUGAGCAUCGACGAAGCACUGGGGCGAAGGGGAGAGCACGAUGGGCGGCUGUACGGGGCGAGGGGGAAAGAGGAGGCCGGGGGGCCUCACCAGCGUUGGAGAGUAGGGGGCGUCGAGGCGUCGGAGCGCCCGAUGGGGAGGAG
rnacentral:lncRNA from 1 species